CCCGUCACAUCAAAUCUUGCGGCACAUGCAUGGAGCAUUAAAUAUAGAUAAAAAAUAUAACUAAUUAUACAGUUUGCAUGUAAUUUGUGAGACGAAUCUUUUGAGCCUAGUUAGGCUAUGAUUGGACAAUAUUUGUCAAAUACAAACGAAAGUGGUAGUAUUCACAUUUUGCAAAAAAAAAAAUUGCAAACAAGACCUUAGACAAAUCUAAAAUAAUUGUAUGGAAUUCUCGAUUAUUUUCACCUACAAUCUAAUUAUAUAAGUGGCCCCAAACGCCUGCAGUUAAGUUUAAUAUUGGAAGAAGAGCUAGCGACCCUUCUUCUCAAUUGCAUAUAGCAGUAUCCGUCAUUACAAAAGAAAAAAAAAGGCUGCGUAAUCCCUUUGACUAUAUAGGUGUACUACUUGACUCCUAAACUAUAAAACUAAAUUUUCUAUCUCCUAAAUCUUUUAAAACUAGUCAAAUAACGCCGUC
rnacentral:lncRNA from 1 species